AGCAAGGAUGAAAAUCGGACUUAGUGAUCCGGUGGUUCUGCGUGGAAGUGCCAUCGCUCAACGGAUAAAAGCUACCCUGGGGAUAACAGGCUUAUCUCCCCCAAGAGUCCACAUCGACGGGGAGGUUGGGCACCUCGAUGUCGGCUCAUCACAUCCUGGGGCUGUAGUAGGUCCCAAGGGUUGGGCUGUUCGCCCAUUAAAGUGGUACGCGAGCUGGGUUCAGAACGUCG
rnacentral:rRNA from 1 species